UACGGGGGGAGCAAGCGUUGUUCGGAUUUACUGGGCGUAGAGGGCGCGUAGGCGGUCGUGACAAGUCACUUGUGAAAUCUCCGGGCUUAACUCGGAACGGUCAAGUGAUACUGUCGGACUAGAGUACAGAAGGGGCAGCUGGAAUUCUCGGUGUAGCGGUGAAAUGCGCAGAUAUCAGGAGGAACACCGGUGGCGAAGGCGGUUCUCUGGGAAUAUCCUGACGCUGAGGAGCGAAAGUGUGGGGAGCGAACAGG
rnacentral:rRNA from 1 species